GAGGAAGUUACCGUGCCCUUGCUGAUGAUGAAGAAGGUGUCUCCUCUGGCUCCCUGUCUGAUGAUGUACUCACCAGCUUCAUAAUGAGUCUAAACAGACACAAUUUACUGAGAGUUUCCUCUGGAAGACCCUGAUAGGCAGCAGGUGUGCGGCCGUCACCUCUUCAGGAAGUCCAUGUACUCAGCGUGUUUGAUGAGUCCGGUUCUCAUCAUGAUGGUCUGGA